UACAUGGCGCCCGCAGGUCCUCGCCGUCCUUGCUCUGCUUAGCGGAGUACGGCGUCGGCAUGGUCCACAUCCGGGGCCCCCACUCAGCGCCCCCAUUCCCCCAUUUCCAAUUUGAAUCUCACGGCCUGCCCUUCCCCUUCCUCCAUCCUCCCCAGUGCUGCAGAGCUCGCCUCUCGUGAACGGUGGAGGAGAUCCAAUCCGGCCGUGCGCGCAGUGAUGAUGAUGGGCGGAGACUCUGAGGGAUUCAUCGACCUGCUCAUGAGGCCGACCCACGACCUUGCACCUGAUUGGUUACCAAGAAUUCCAAUUCAUGAUGCCGAGACAAGCGCACGUACUUCUCCGUCCAGCUUGAGUUCUGAUUCAAGCGUACUUGUGGCUGAUCCAUGAGAAGCCGGAUUUGGAGAGGACGAAGAGUGCAGCAACGAACCAAGCUUCCUUCUCAGCUUCAUACUUGCAUAAUGAAUCGCCAUUACCGUCUGAUUCGCAUCUGCGGACGCCAAUCGAGACCCCUCCUCCAUCGAAUCACACCUGGAAGCGGAGGUUAAUCGUCCCAAAGUUUAUUAUGAUUCUUGGCUUUUAAUCCUGGCUGCCAAAUCUACACACCCUCAUUGAUCAGUCAUAUUGAUUUCUCUAGCUGAAAAUGAUAUUAGAAUGGGCAUAGACCAAUCUUCAGAAAUGGUUAGUUUAUACGAUGUGGCUUACUAACAAUAUUCAUCUUCAUGAUAGUUUAGGAUGAAUAUAGCAUCUUCACAUUGAGCUACUUGAGGAUUUAUCCUGUAAAAAAAGCUACUUGAGAUUUAAACCUUGCUAGUGUAAGCUACUCCCUCCGUCUCAAAAUGUAAGGCAUCUAAGGAUUGAUCGAAAGUCAAACCUUACUAACUUUGACCAAAUAUUUAGAAAAAAAUAUUUACAUCUACAAUAUCGAAUUGACAUAUCAAGAAAAUAUACUUUAUGCUGAAUCUAUUGAUAUUGAUUUAGUGUUGUAAGUGUAUAAACUUGGCCAAACUUUUAAAACCUUGACUUUUGACUAAUCCUUAGACGCCUUACAUUUUGGGAUGGAGGGAGUACUUGAGAACUCUGUUCGCAUUUCGUGAUCAGGCGAGAGUAGAAAUCUGGGGCACUAAACACUUUCGCGUGGUGCCCUGACUUGUAUUUUAGGGGUAAAAACUGAAGUAUCUCUUUGCACCAUUUUAUUGAAGUCUAUGAAUCCUGGCUGUAAGAAUGGGGUACUAUGAAUUUGUUUACUUAAUAUUAUAGAUAGAUUCUAGAUGCGAUACUUGCUAUAAGACCAUAUGCUGAAAAUGUCCGGUGUAUCUGACAAGUCAUUAGAUGAAAUUAAAUAGUAUGGUAGCCGACAAACAAUUGUAUUCUUUGGAACCUGAUGCAAGCCAAUCAUUCUUUGGAGCCUGAUGCAAGCCAAUCAUUCUUCUAUGUAUAAUGAAAUCUAUCAUAAGAAUUUGUUAAGCAGAAAUUGUAGUUACCCUCCUUAUCCUGUACGGCUGUACCCCAAAUUUUUGCAACUCAUAUACUGUUUCUAGAUUAGGUCCUGCGGCCCAACCUUUUGUAGCUCUAUAUACUGGUCCUAGAAUUAGGACUAUAUACACGUCUCCACACAACAUUAGCCUAAUCUUGUUGGAGCAGCAAUGCGGCAUGCUAAGCUGCUUCUCUGUAUCGGCAAACACAGUUAAUCCAGUAAAAAGGUCAGGUCAGAUGUUCUGUAAUGCGUGAGUCAGCUGCGAAUACUAAUGCCCCUGGUUCCAAUAAAUACAGCAGACCUUUAUUUUGCCAAUGGACAACACAUGAUCUAGGUACCAGAAACAAUCAAAUACUAUGAAGUCCAUAUAUUUACUGAAUAGUAACAGGUCUAUAUACAACGUAUAUGACCCAACCAGCCAAGGCUGCACACAAAUCAAAGCAGGGGAACUGACCUAAAAAAGAAAGAACACAAAUUUACAUUUCAGAACACUAAAAAAUCAGCAGAUAUAGGCGACUGAAUAUUGACAAUCAUUUAUCUCGUGAGGCCUAAAUAGGUAGAUCUUGCUUUGAAGUUUUGGAUGUGUGAUAGUCUAUCCAAUGCGGCUGACAUGAUAGGUUAUUUCCGUCCAGUGAUUCUUACAAGUAGUUGCAUAUACGGAAUGAUUCUUAUUUUAGCAGUCAACCUAAAACUAUUCCAUGUGAGUACCAUGUUCUUCUGCAUCAAACUUAUUUUCGAUAAAACUUUUGCUUCAAAUUAUUCCAUGUGAUGCACUGAUUUGAUGGCGAUAAUAGAGGAGAGCUACAUUUUGCAUGGACGGUAGUAAAAUUAGUAUUUCUGAUUGUGAUAGUGAUGUUCGAGGUCGAGUAGCUAGGAGUAAUCAUACUGACAAUGAUGGCGGUCAUACUAUCUUCAUGUGUAUAAUUGUUAUUUAUUAUGACUACCUAGCACUUUGAUCCUUCACAUCUGGAAUGUGGGAUUUAAUGGAGCCCCUUGCUUCUACACAUUCCAGUUGAUUCCAUUACUGGAUAAUUCUGAUCAUUGUGUUCUGGAGCUUCAUUGUAGCAAAAUGUUUACUAUAGAAGCCUCAUUAAGGGGUUGUCUUGAUCAGACAAGCUCAGAUUUGCAGUAAGUCAUCUUUGUUUGACAAGUAAUUGCUAAUUUAUGUGUUUUUUAUCAUUUUAUAUCCCAUAUAUAAAUAGCUGAAAAAGGAAUUAAGUAGGGGAAAUGAAACUUGGUUAUUUUUCUGUAGUUGUGACUUGACCGUGAUUUGGUGUAUUAUUUCCACUAAUUUAAAUGCUUGGAUAUAUCUUAUUACCUCUCAAAAUAACUUUUUAGCCACCGAACGGUUUUCAAUUUGACUAUGAUGUUACUAUUGAGAAUCAUGGUUAGCGCUACACCAUCGAUGGUUACUAUCAACCAUAUGUUUGGAUAACUUUAUUAGCUUGUAAAAGAACUUCUUAGGGACCGAACGAUUUUGAAAUUGACUAUGUUGUUACUACUGAAAAUCAUGGUUAGGGAUACCCCUCUUAGACACAUGCUUGGAUAUCUUAUUAGCUCUCAAAGGGACUUUUUAGGCACCAAAGGUUUUCAAUAUGAAUUUGAUGAUACUAUUUAUAAUCAUGUUUAGCAAUACACCACUGGUGGUUACUCAUGGACACAAGUGUCGAUAUCUUAUUAGGUUGGCAAAGAAAUUCGUAGCCACCGAGCGGUUUUCAAUAUGAAUAUGAUGGUACUAUUUAUUUGGCGGCUAAAGGACCUUACAGAGAAAAUCUAUGGUAAUGAUCAGCCUAGGUGUAACAGAAAUACCCGAAAGUCACAUUAUGAAGAGGUGGACCAGGGAUGCAUACCAUGACAUGGCCGCUCAUCUCAUGUUGUAUCAAAAGGAUAGCACUACUACGAAAUCCACGAGUUUCUGGCACUCGGCUCUUUACAGGACUGCAAUUGAAAUUGUUCAGAUGGCUGACACCAAUCCAGAGUCAUACGAGGUGGCAAUGUCCCACUUUCUAGAUGCCAUUCCUAUCUUGUCUGAAACAAGCAAGAUAAAAGAUGGCCUUGGUCUAGAAGAGAGAGUUCAAGCAGAUGGGAGAGUGAAUCCCUCAGUCAUAUUCGAGAGCGGCAGUCUUCGACCAGACAUUGUCGCUCCUCCAAAAAGGAAAGACAUCGGUCGACCAACUUCAGCACUACGAGAAGGUCAGUGUGCCAAGAACAAAAUUCUGCACCAUAUGCCGUAACAGGGUUCAUAAGGCGAAUGGCUGCCCAUCCAACCAGAACAAGAAGCCACGAAGAGAGGCCCAUUGCUCAAAUUGCGGUCUGGCUGGGCACAAGAAGAACUACUGCUUGACUUCCAACUACUAGCAUUAC